UCCUCGGUAGCUCAGUGGCAGAGCAAUCGGCUGUUAACCGAUCGGUCGUAGGUUCGAAUCCUACCCGGGGAGCCA
rnacentral:tRNA from 1 species